rnacentral:rRNA from 1 species
UAGCCUUUCGAAAGAAAGAUUAAUAUCCGAUGGUAUAUUAAACCCGCAUGGUUUUACUAUUAAAGAAUUUCGGUUAUCGAUGGGGAUGCGUUCCAUUAGUUUGUUGGCGGGGUAACGGCCCACCAAGACUACGAUGGAUAGGGGUUCUGAGAGGAAGGUCCCCCACAUUGGAACUGAGACACGGUCCAAACUCCUACGGGAGGCAGCAGUGAGGAAUAUUGGUCAAUGGACGAGAGUCUGAACCAGCCAAGUAGCGUGAAGGAUGACUGCCCUAUGGGUUGUAAACUUCUUUUAUAUGGGAAUAAAGUAUUCCACGUGUGGGAUUUUGUAUGUACCAUAUGAAUAAGGAUCGGCUAACUCCGUGCCAGCAGCCGCGGUAAUACGGAGGAUCCGAGCGUUAUCCGGAUUUAUUGGGUUUAAAGGGAGCGUAGGUGGAUUGUUAAGUCAGUUGUGAAAGUUUGCGGCUCAACCGUAAAAUUGCAGUUGAAACUGGCAGUCUUGAGUACAGUAGAGGUGGGCGGAAUUCGUGGUGUAGCGGUGAAAUGCUUAGAUAUCACGAAGAACUCCGAUUGCGAAGGCAGCUCACUAGACUGCAACUGACACUGAUGCUCGAAAGUGUGGGUAUCAAGCAGGAUUAGAUACCCUGGUAGUCCACACAGU